rnacentral:lncRNA from 1 species
AAUUGGUUGAGGUGCAACAAGAACCAGGACAGACAGGUGCCAGCCAGACUGCCAGCAGCUGGAAUUGCAGAGACCACAUGUACAGAUCCCACCCCAGAGACUCUGCCCAAGUGUCUUCACCAGUCUCCUUGGAGUCAGGUCCCAGGAGCUGAGGAUCCUGAAUCCAGUAGCCACAGGGCCAGGCAGGUGGAGGAAGGCUGAAGAGACGGACAGGUGUCCUUCUAAAUGGACGUUGCCCAGAUUAUAGAGAUGGCAGUUAAGAAUGCUUGCUGCAGGCCCCAAAAGGAAUAGGAACUCCACGGGAAGACCAAAAGAGUCAACUAACCUGGACUACUGGAGUUCUCAGUCUGAACCACCAACCGAAGAACAUACACAGGCUAGACCUAGGCUUUCCUGCACAUGCGUAGCAGACGUGCAGCUUGGUCUUCCUGAGGGUUCCAAACAACUGGAGUGGGGGCUCUCCCAAAAGCUGUUGCUUGUAUGUGGGGUAUGUUCUACUAGCUGGGCUGCCUUGUCUGGCCUCAGUGGGAGAGGAAGCGCCUAGCUUCACAGAGACUUUAAGUACGGGAGUGGGGGCUGGGGAGAUACCCAGGGCAACCUACUGCUCAGAAAAGAGGAAGGGGAAAGGAUUGUGGAAGGGGGUGAUGAGGAAGGGAGCAGUGAGCAGGAUAUAAAAUGAAUAAGUUUGUUUUUA